rnacentral:pre_miRNA from 1 species
ACGCUCAUUCAAGACCAUGACACGGCAAUAAACGAUGUCAUGAUCUUGAUCGGGUGCCA